rnacentral:rRNA from 1 species
GACGAACGCUGGCGGCGUGCUUAACACAUGCAAGUCGAACGGAAAGGCCCUGCUUUUGUGGGGUGCUCGAGUGGCGAACGGGUGAGUAACACGUGAGUAACCUGCCCUUGACUUUGGGAUAACUUCAGGAAACUGGGGCUAAUACCGGAUAGGAGCUCCUGCUGCAUGGUGGUGGUUGGAAAGUUUCGGCGGUUGGGGAUGGACUCGCGGCUUAUCCGCUUGUUGGUGGGGUAGUGGCUUACCAAGGCUUUGACGGGUAGCCGGCCUGUGAGGGUGACCGGCCACAUUGGGACUACGAUACGGCCCAGACGCCUACGGGAGGCAGCAGUGGGGAAUAUUGCACAAUGGGCGGAAGCCUGAUGCAGCAACGCCGCGUGCGGGAUGACGGCCUUCGGGUUGUAAACCGCUUUCGCCUGUGACGAAGCGUGAGUGACGGUAAUGGGUAAAGAAGCACCGGCUAACUACGUG